rnacentral:rRNA from 1 species
CCGUAGCCCAAGAGAUCGGGAUAACACCUGGAAACAGAUGCUAAUACCGGAUAAUAACAGAUGAUGCCUAUCAACUGUUUAAAAGAUGGUUCUGCUAUCACUCUUGGAUGGACCUGCGGUGCAUUAGCUAGUUGGUAGGGUAACGGCCUACCAAGGCGAUGAUGCAUAGCCGAGUUGAGAGACUGAUCGGCCACAUUGGGACUGAGACACGGCACAAACUCCUACGGGAGGCAGCAGAG